rnacentral:rRNA from 1 species
GACGAACGCUGGCGGCGUGCUUAACACAUGCAAGUCGAACGGAAAGGCCCUGCUUUUGUGGGGUGCUCGAGUGGCGAACGGGUGAGUAACACGUGAGUAACCUGCCCUUGACUUUGGGAUAACUUCAGGAAACUGGGGCUAAUACCGGAUAGGAGCUCCUGCUGCAUGGUGGGGGUUGGAAAGUUUCGGCGGUUGGGGAUGGACUCGCGGCUUAUCAGCUUGUUGGUGGGGUAGUGGCUUACCAAGGCUUUGACGGGUAGCCGGCCUGAGAGGGUGACCGGCCACAUGGGGACUGAGGUACGGCCCAGACUCCUACGGGAGGCAACAGUGGGGAAUAUUGCACAAUGGGCGGAAGCCUGAUGCAGCAACGCCGCGUGCGGGAUGACGGCCUUCGGGUUGUAAACCGCUUUCGCCUGUGACGAAGCGUGAGUGACGGUAAUGGGUAAAGAAGCACCGGCUAACUACGU